GGGCUUCAUAGCAUUCGCGUACUCCGUGAAGGUGCGUAUGGCCCUGGCGGAAAUCCAGGGGGUGCCGGUGAGCCUGGGGCUCCACCUGCCCACAUGCUGCCUGGGGUGGGGACUUGUGUGUCCCUGUGACUGUGAGUUUGUGUGCACGUCUGUCCUGUGUGUGCCCACGUCAGUGGCUUUGUCUGUGUGAUCUGUGUGUGUGUGUGGCUUGGGGAAUCUGCCCAGUGCAGGUCUAGGAGGAGGCUCCAGGAGGCUGGCUGGCUGGCUCAGAGUCUGUCCCCGGCUAUCCACUAGCCCAGAGCAGUUCUCCCUAUAGCCCAGUAAGAAAUUACACCUUCACCUUCCAGACUGGCACCCAGGCUCUCCCAGAAAGUGAGAAGGGAACUCACAGGUGACUUCACCCCAUGGUGGGGAGAACAGCCUGUGCUGGGGCCAAGGCAGAAGGAGGAUGAGCCCCGAGGCUCCUGGAGAGUCUGAGCCGGUCUAGGGACAGGAAGAUGGUUGGCGACGUGACCGGGGCCCAGGCCUAUGCCUCCACCGCCAAGUGCCUGAACAUCUGGGCCCUGAUUUUGGGCAUCUUCAUGACCAUUCUGCUCAUCAUCAUCCCAGUGUUGGUCGUCCAGGCCCAGCGAUAGAUCAGGAGGCAUCAUUGAGGCCAGGAGCUCUGCCCGUGACCUGUAUCCCACGUACUCUAUCUUCCAUUCCUCGCCCUGCCCCCAGAGGCCAGGAGCUCUGCCCUUGACCUGUAUUCCACUUACUCCACCUUCCAUUCCUCGCCCUGUCCCCACAGCCGAGUCCUGCAUCAGCCCUUUAUCCUCACACGCUUUUCUACAAUGGCAUUCAAUAAAGUGUAUAUGUUUCU
rnacentral:lncRNA from 1 species